rnacentral:rRNA from 1 species
AACGAACGCUGGCGGCAUGCCUAACACAUGCAAGUCGAACGAGACCUUCGGGUCUAGUGGCGCACGGGUGCGUAACGCGUGGGAACCUGCCCUUAGGUUCGGAAUAACUCCCCGAAAGGGGUGCUAAUACCGGAUAAUGUCUUCGGACCAAAGAUUUAUCGCCUUUGGAUGGGCCGGCGUUGGAUUAGCUAGUUGGUAGGGUAAAAGCCUACCAAGGCGCCGAUCCAUAGCUGGUCUGAGAGGAUGAUCAGCCACACUGGGACUGAGACACGGCCCAGACUCCUACGGGAGGCAGCAGUGGGGAAUAUUGGACAAUGGGCGAAAGCCUGAUCCAGCAAUGCCGCGUGAGUGAUGAAGGCCUUAGGGUUGUAAAGCUCUUUUACCCGGGAUGAUAAUGACAGUACCGGGAGAAUAAGCUCCGGCUAACUCCGUG